ACGAGUGGCGGACGGGUGAGUAAUGUCUGGGAAACUGCCCGGUGGAGGGGGAUAACUACUGGAAACGGUAGCUAAUACCGCAUAACGUCGCAAGACCAAAGAGGGGGACCUUCGGGCCUCUUGCCACCGGAUGUGCCCAGAUGGGAUUAGCUUGUUGGUGAGGUAACGGCUCACCAAGGCGACGAUCCCUAGCUGGUCUGAGAGGAUGACCAGCCACACCGGAACUGAGACACGGUCCAGACUCCUACGGAAGGCAGCAG
rnacentral:rRNA from 1 species